CCCCCUUGCCGGCGUCUAACCAUGACAGUCGAGCGGUAAGGCCCUUCGGGGUACACGAGCGGCGAACGGGUGAGUAACACGUGAGCAACCUGCCCCCGACUCCGGGAUAAGCGGUGGAAACGCCGUCUAAUACCGGAUACGACCGGCCACCUCAUGGCGGCCGGUGGAAAGUUUUUCGGUUGGGGAUGGGCUCGCGGCCUAUCAGCUUGUUGGUGGGGUAAAGGCCUACCAAGGCGAUUACGGGUAGCCGGCCUGAGAGGGCGACCGGCCACACUGGGACUGAGACACGGCCCAGACUCCUGCGGGAGGCAGCAGUGGGGAAUAUUGCGCAAUGGGCGAAAGCCUGACGCAGCGACGCCGCGUGGGGGAUGACGGCCUUCGGGUUGUAAACCUCUUUUACCACCAACGCAGGCUCCCAGUUCUCUGGGGGUUGACGGUAGGUGGGGAAUAAGGACCGGCUAACUACGUGCCAGCAGCCGCGGUAAUACGUAGGGUCCGAGCGUUGUCCGGAAUUAUUGGGCGUAAAGAGCUCGUAGGCGGCGUGUCGCGUCUGCUGUGAAAGACCGGGGCUUAACCCCGGUUCUGCAGUGGAUACGGGCAUGCUAGAGGUAGGUAGGGGAGACUGGAAUUCCUGGUGUAGCGGUGAAAUGCGCAGAUAUCAGGAGGAACACCGGUGGCGAAGGCGGGUCUCUGGGCCUUACCUGACGCUGAGGAGCGAAAGCAUGGGGAGCGAACAGGAUUAGAUACCCUGGUAGUCCAUGCCGUAAACGUUGGGCGCUAGGUGUGGGGACUUUCCACGGUUUCCGCGCCGUAGCUAACGCAUUAAGCGCCCCGCCUGGGGAGUACGGCCGCAAGGCUAAAACUCAAAGGAAUUGACGGGGGCCCGCACAAGCGGCGGAGCAUGUUGCUUAAUUCGACGCAACGCGAAGAACCUUACCAAGGUUUGACAUCACCCGUGGACCUGCAGAGAUGUGGGGUCAUUUAGUUGGUGGGUGACAGG
rnacentral:rRNA from 1 species